UGCAGUCGAGCGAACAGAAAAGGAGCUUGCUCCUUUGACGUUAGCGGCGGACGGGUGAGUAACACGUGGGCAACCUACCCUAUAGUUUGGGAUAACUCCGGGAAACCGGGGCUAAUACCGAAUAAUCUCUUUUGCUUCAUGGUGAAAGACUGAAAGACGGUUUCGGCUGUCGCUAUAGGAUGGGCCCGCGGCGCAUUAGCUAGUUGGUGAGGUAACGGCUCACCAAGGCGACGAUGCGUAGCCGACCUGAGAGGGUGAUCGGCCACACUGGGACUGAGACACGGCCCAGACUCCUACGGGAGGCAGCAGUAGGGAAUCUUCCACAAUGGGCGAAAGCCUGAUGGAGCAACGCCGCGUGAGUGAAGAAGGUUUUCGGAUCGUAAAACUCUGUUGUAAGGGAAGAACAAGUACAGUAGUAACUGGCUGUACCUUGACGGUACCUUAUUAGAAAGCCACGGCUAACUACGUGCCAGCCGCCGCGGUAA
rnacentral:rRNA from 1 species